UACGAAGGGGGCUAGCGUUGCUCGGAAUCACUGGGCGUAAAGGGUGCGUAGGCGGGUCUUUUAAGUCAGGGGUGAAAUCCUGGAGCUCAACUCCAGAACUGCCUUUGAUACUGAGGAUCUUGAGUUCGGGAGAGGUGAGUGGAACUGCGAGUGUAGAGGUGAAAUUCGUAGAUAUUCGCAAGAACACCAGUGGCGAAGGCGGCUCACUGGACUGGUAUUGACGCUGAGGUGCGAAAGCGUGGGGAGCAAACAGG
rnacentral:rRNA from 1 species